rnacentral:rRNA from 1 species
UACGGAGGGUGCGAGCGUUGUCCGGAAUCAUUGGGCGUAAAGGGCGCGUAGGUGGCGGCUUAAGCGUGCGGUGAAAGCUCGGGGCUCAACCCCGAGUCGGCCGUGCGAACUGAGUCGCUUGAGCACUGUAGAGGCAGGCGGAAUUCCGGGUGUAGCGGUGGAAUGCGUAGAGAUCCGGAAGAACACCGGUGGCGAAGGCGGCCUGCUGGGCAGUUGCUGACACUGAGGCGCGACAGCGUGGGGAGCAAACAGGG